rnacentral:rRNA from 1 species
GAUGAACGCUGGCGGCGUGCCUAAUACAUGCGAGUCGAGCGAACAGAUGAGGAGCUUGCUCCUCUGACGUUAGCGGCGGACGGGUGAGUAACACGUGGAUAACCUACCUAUAAGACUGGGAUAACUACGGGAAACCGGAGCUAAUACCGGAUAAUAUAUUGAACCGCAUGGUUCAAUAGUGAAAGACGGUUUUGCUGUCACUUAUAGAUGGAUCCGCGCCGCAUUAGCUAGUUGGUAAGGUAACGGCUUACCAAGGUAACGAUGCGUAGCCGACCUGAGAGGGUGAUCGGCCACACUGGAACUGAGACACGGUCCAGACUCCUACGGGAGGCAGCAGUAGGGAAUCUUCCGCAAUGGGCGAAAGCCUGACGGAGCAACGCCGCGUGAGUGAUGAAGGUCUUCGGAUCGUAAAACUCUGUUAUUAGGGAAGAACAAAUGUGUAAGUAACUAUGCACGUCUUGACGGUACCUAAUCAGAAAGCCACGGCUAACUACGUG